rnacentral:rRNA from 1 species
GGGUAACCUGCCCAUCAGAAGGGGAUAACACUUGGAAACAGGUGCUAAUACCGUAUAACAAUCGAAACCGCAUGGUUUUGAUUUGAAAGGCGCUUUCGGGUGUCGCUGAUGGAUGGACCCGCGGUGCAUUAGCUAGUUGGUGAGGUAACGGCUCACCAAGGCGACGAUGCAUAGCCGACCUGAGAGGGUGAUCGGCCACAUUGGGACUGAGACACGGCCCAAACUCCUACGGGAGGCAGCAGUAGGGAAUCUUCGGCAAUGGACGAAAGUCUGACCGAGCAACGCCGCGUGAGUGAAGAAGGUUUUCGGAUCGUAAAACUCUGUUGUUAGAGAAGAACAAGGAUGAGAGUAACUGUUCAUCCCUUGACGGUAUCUAACCAGAAAGCCACGGCUAACUACGUGCCAGCAGCCGCGGUAAUACGUAGGUGGCAAGCGUUGUCCGGAUUUAUUGGGCGUAAAGCGAGCGCAGGCGGUUUCUUAAGUCUGAUGUGAAAGCCCCCGGCUCAACCGGGGAGGGUCAUUGGAAACUGGGAGACUUGAGUGCAGAAGAGGAGAGUGGAAUUCCAUGUGUAGCGGUGAAAUGCGUAGAUAUAUGGAGGA